AAACAAAAAAAAGGGCAGGACCAGGACUGGAAAACCCUGCACUAAAGCCACUGCUGUCAAAGCAAACUCACCCUAGUGCUGUUGGCCUGGAAAACAUGAUUAGAUCAACUAGGCCUUUAUUCAGCUACCAUAGUGCUGGUAUGUAUAUGUUCAGCUGAAGGGCGGAGAAAGGGGUUUAAUGUAUUCAUCACAGAGGACUUGCUGCUUCUGUAUGUAAUGAUGUUAAUCAUCCACUCGAGAGCAAUUGAACCGAGGACAUGGCGGGACAGUUCCCUGUUCCAAAAGUGUGCAUGAUGGUCAGUGCUGGAGAACGCUACGCUUCUUUGAAAUCACAUCAAUGGCAAACACACUGACAUAUUUAAACCUUACCUGUUGAAAGUAUCAGCAUACUGUAGACGUGUCUUGUUGAUUGCUUUAUUGUGAAAUAAUCAUUCCCAACAUCAUGCUCUGGGUAUUUUGUGCGAGAUAUGUAAACAUGAGGCAGUAUUUUUUUUAAAUAAGGACCAUUGCUUUGAUGCACUACAUUUUAAUUAAUUUUGGGAGAGGCCAUGUUAAUCCCCAUUCUUAACGAGAUUAUUUUAGGGUUAAAAAAAGAUAAAUACUUUAAACAUAUUAUGGACAGGGUUUUCUUUGUUGCACAUGAAAGGAUUACAAAUGCAAAACCAAAAGACUAGCUGGAGGAUGUAAUAAUUAUUUGAGACUACUGAAGAAGACAUUUUAAUAACUAAGAAAUAUGAAAAUAUCCUUUUAGAAAGAUUAUUCAGUCUGCUGCUUAUUGUUCUUAGAGUCGGAGGGUUAUUUUCUAACCACACAGGGUUUGUGAUUAAUCAAAAGCAUUGACUUUCAACUUUGUAUCAUUCAUAGUUCUUUCCGAACUUGUAAAUUGAAAUCAAACGGUGUGUAAAGAGGUUUAAAUGUUAUUUUCAAAUACGGAAAUACUGGCGUGUUCCAGGUGAUGGAGGAGGUAAUCUUAAUUGUUAAACUAUUUUUGUUUUAGUGUUGAUUGCUUGAGGGCUGUCUGGAUGUGAAGGAAGAUUUUGCACUUCUUCCGGUUUUAGCUUAUGUCAUUGUGCUUGAAUUUGCACUGUUUAUAUUUGUGGAAAGGAAAAGCUACAGGAUUGGGUUGCUUAAGUCUUGCACACUAAGGGUAACUUGGCAAGGUUGUGGGCAUUGGGGAGAUUAUGUAUAACACAGUGAUCAGUCAUAAUCAAUCAUAACCCAUAAAAAAAAAAUCUGUUAAAACACCAACUCAUUUAUUACACUGUGUUGCCUGAGGUACAGUCAUGCUAGGUCAAGGUACAAGGCCCCAUUUACACCGUGUAUUAGAAUUGCAAACAGUAUUCACAUUUGAAAAACAUGUUACUGCUAGGUCCAAAUGUGCUCGUUGCAUAUACAUGUACUUGGCAGAUGUGCCUGAACACCUCUGGAAGUGGACACGCUUGAAUUGACCAUGGGACUGACUGGGCUUUAAAUAAUUAAUUAAUUCAAGGUUAUUUGUAAAUCACUCAUUCUGCAGUCCCCUGCAGUUGGCCUCCAAUCUCAGCUCAGAGUAAAUGUCAGUGCUCUGCCAAAAAUAUUCCUGUGUUAUUCAGCCUCCACCUUUGUGUUCCACUUACAGUACCAGUCAAUAGUUUGGACACACUUAUCCAUUCAUUUGGUUCAGAAUAUUCAAUGGUUAAAACAAGUUUUUUGCAAGAUAAGUAAAUGUGAAAACAAUAGACCUGUAAAGAAACAUGAAGUAGUAUUUAGUUUAGUACAUACAUUUUGUCUACAAAUUGAUUUGCAUUAAUAAGAGGGAACAUAGUUUUCAGUGUGGAAUGCACAAUUCAUAGUAUCAGGUGUAAAUGCGAGGCCUUUGUAAUGCCAUCCUAUCACAGCUGUUGCAUAUAGGUUUUAAGUCUAAAUGGUUAAGAACGAAGACUGAUCUUCGUUAAUUCAUACAAAUGAAAAUAGGUUUUUCACACAAUGUAAAAUGGAUGUUGGAAAGGAUGGAUCCUGAUGGAUGUCACAAACAAUUAGUUACAUACAAUUUCACAUUGAUAUACAUGAAUCAUCUAUAAUAGGGGCAGGGUGUUUUAAUAGAGGUUGAUGAAUAGGAAAACCUAAAAUAUUUAGCGAUAAGGAGAUGGUGCAGAUUGUGUAAACUGUCUGUAUUGCACUAAGACAUACAUGUGAUGUACAAAUAUGUGUCUCUAAUAAAAACACUAGAC
ensembl:lncRNA